GUUUUUCACUCGUGCCAAUCAUUUCCUUAUUUACGGAUUGAUUGGCAAUCACCCGGUCAUGAUACGAUUCGGUUUCCGAAAUUACGAGACCUCCGGGGUACUAUAUAAACCACACCUUGCCCAUUGUUCAACACACCUCACACCACCACAGCCGUUCGAACCUCAGAAACACUUGCCGGAAGCCGGAGAUUUCAAACCGAUAACUCGACACCUUCUUCUGUUUCGAUAAACAACCCACCGUCCCUACUCGCCGAAACCGCUCUUGUCAUCCUCGCCGGAGAAGGAGACCGGAGAACUCCGGAGUCGCCGGUGACAAGCCAACCGUCGGAGCCCUUGGAACUCGCCGGAGAAGACGACUCGUCCGGGUAAAUCUCUUGUGCAACGACACUUGGAACGAUCCUCAUAUUCUCUUUACAAGAAUCGCAACGCAAUCACUGUUGAUUGAUCAAGAUACA